UACACUCCUACGGGAGGCAGCAGUGGGGAAUUUUGGACAAUGGGCGAAAGCCUGAUCCAGCAAUGCCGCGUGUGUGAAGAAGGCCUUCGGGUUGUAAAGCACUUUUGUCCGGAAAGAAAUCCUUGGCUCUAAUACAGUCGGGGGAUGACGGUACCGGAAGAAUAAGCACCGGCUAACUACGUGCCAGCAGCCGCGGUAAUACGUAGGGUGCGAGCGUUAAUCGGAAUUACUGGGCGUAAAGCGUGCGCAGGCGGUUUGCUAAGACCGAUGUGAAAUCCCCGGGCUCAACCUGGGAACUGCAUUGGUGACUGGCAGGCUAGAGUAUGGCAGAGGGGGGUAGAAUUCCACGUGUAGCAGUGAAAUGCGUAGGGAUGUGGAGGAAUACCGAUGGCGAAGGCAGCCCCCUGGGCCAAUACUGACGCUCAUGCACGAAAGCGUGGGGAGCAAACAGGAUUAGAAACCCUUGUAGUCCCAUG
rnacentral:rRNA from 1 species